AUUGAACGCUGGCGGCGGGCUUAACACAUGCAAGUCGAGCGGGGUGAUGGUGCUUGCACUAUCACUUAGCGGCGGACGGGUGAGUAAUGCUUAGGAAUCUGCCUAUUAGUGGGGGACAGCAUCUCGAAAGGGAUGCUAAUACCGCAUACGUCCUACGGGAGAAAGCAGGGGAUCACUUGUGACCUUGCGCUAAUAGAUGAGCCUAAGUCGGAUUAGCUAGUUGGUGGGGUAAAGGCCUACCAAGGCGACGAUCUGUAGCGGUUCUGAGAGGAUGAUCCGCCACACCGGGACUGAGACACGGCCCAGACUCCUACGGGAGGCAGCAGUGGGGAAUAUUGGACAAUGGGGGGAACCCUGAUCUAGCCAUGCCGCGUGUGUGAAGAAGGCCUUAUGGUUGUAAAGCACUUUAAGCGAGGAGGAGGCUCUUUUGGUUAAUACCCAAGAUGAGUGGACGUUACUCGCAGAAUAAGCACCGGCUAACUCUGUGCCAGCCGCCGCGGUAA
rnacentral:rRNA from 1 species